AUUGAACGCUGGCGGCAGGCCUAACACAUGCAAGUCGAGCGGAUGAAGGGAGCUUGCUCCUGGAUUCAGCGGCGGACGGGUGAGUAAUGCCUAGGAAUCUGCCUGGUAGUGGGGGAUAACGUCCGGAAACGGGCGCUAAUACCGCAUACGUCCUGAGGGAGCAAGUGGGGGAUCUUCGGACCUCACGCUAUCUGAUGAGCCUAGGUCGGAUUAGCUAGUUGGUGGGGUAAAGGCCUACCAAGGCGACGAUCCGUAACUGGUCUGAGAGGAUGAUCAGUCACACUGGAACUGAGACACGGUCCAGACGCCUACGGGAGGCAGCAGUGGGGAAUAUUGGACAAUGGGCGAAAGCCUGAUCCAGCCAUGCCGCGUGUGUGAAGAAGGUCUUCGGAUUGUAAAGCACUUUAAGUUGGGAGGAAGGGCAGUAAGUUAAUACCUUGCUGUAUUGACGUUACCAACAGAAUAAGCACCGGCUAACUUCGUG
rnacentral:rRNA from 1 species